rnacentral:lncRNA from 1 species
UAAAGGCAAGAAGGCUUUAGAACGAAAUACAGCAAGCCGGGUUCUACGAAGGAUUGAAAAUCAGCUAACAUAUCUGCGUGGCUGUGGGUAUGAAUCAAUCGUUAUCUAUUACAAGAAAGGACCAGCACGGGUGACACAUGGUAUCCUACCAAACAACAUAAGACAAGAAGAUCUUCACCACUAACUUCUUUUUGUCACGCACAAGGAAGCUUGAUGCAGAUAAACUUACAUUAUGAUCAGAAGGUGAUAGCGAUAAUGCCUUGGAAAAAAAUCCUGACGAGCUACAAGUGCAGCAGGUGCAUAAAGUCCAAAAAGUACCGCAGGUGCAAGAAAUUCAACAAGUACAAAAAGUUCCGCAGGUGGAACAUUUACAAAAAGUUCCGCAGGAGCAACAAGGGCUACCAUUAGCAAUCAUU